CUUGUGUGUUAGUGGAACGGUCUGGAAAGUCCGACGGUACAGGGUGAUAGUCCCGUACACCAAAAUGCACAGGUUGUGAACUCGAAGAGUAGGGCGGGACACGUGGUAUCCUGUCUGAAUAUGGGGGGACCAUCCUCCAAGGCUAAAUACUCCUGACUGACCGAUAGUGAACCAGUACCGUGAGGGAAAGGCGAAAAGAACCCCGGCGAGGGGAGUGAAAAAGAACCUGAAACCGUGUACGUACAAGCAGUGGGAGCACCUUCGGGUGUGACUGCGUACCUUUUGUAUAAUGGGUCAGCGACUUAUAUUCUGUAGCAAGGUUAACCGUAUAGGGGAGCCGCAGGGAAACCGAGUCUUAACUGGGCGUUAAGUUGCAGGGUAUAGACCCGAAACCCGGUGAUCUAGCCAUGGGCAGGUUGAAGGUUGGGUAACACUAACUGGAGGACCGAACCGACUAAUGUUGAAAAAUUAGCGGAUGACUUGUGGCUGGGGGUGAAAGGCCAAUCAAACCGGGAGAUAGCUGGUUCUCCCCGAAAGCUAUUUAGGUAGCGCCUCGUGAACUCAUCUUCGGGGGUAGAGCACUGUUUCGGCUAGGGGGUCAUCCCGACUUACCAACCCGAUGCAAACUACGAAUACCGAAGAAUGUUAUCACGGGAGACACACGGCGGGUGCUAACGUCCGUCGUGAAGAGGGAAACAACCCAGACCGCCAGCUAAGGUCCCAAAGUCAUGGUUAAGUGGGAAACGAUGUGGGAAGGCACAGACAGCCAGGAUGUUGGCUUAGAAGCAGCCAUCAUUUAAAGAAAGCGUAAUAGCUCACUGGUCGAGUCGGCCUGCGCGGAAGAUGUAACGGGGCUAAACCAUGCACCGAAGCUGCGGCAGCGACACUAUGUGUUGUUGGGUAGGGGAGCG
rnacentral:rRNA from 1 species